GGAAAGUUUGUGUCCGUGCUUUCUUUACUCAUUACUCCCCUUUUCAGAGAAAGGAAGAUUGGGGAGGCAGGCUUGGAGAAAAACAGAGUCCAAAUAUGAUUGAGGCAGACAGGAAGCAACAACAAGAAGUGGGAGAAAUCCAGGUGACAAACAGAGUCCAAGUGAGGAAAUCCAGGAGGGGGAAGUGGAGUCCAUUUAGGGGACAGAGUCUACAUGGACAUGUGAGUCUUUAUGAUCCAGCAGGGAGUGAAUGAAUGAACAGGGUUUAUAUAGUGGAGGUGUAACUGCAGACAGGUGAGGUCAACGGACCAAUCAGUGCAGCUGAUUCACAGAACUAAUGAGGACAGCAGGCAGGUGAGUGAGACAGACAGAAAGACAGACAGAGAUCAACAGGUGCAGACAGAGGAAGCCAGAGGGACCAGACAAGGACAGAGAGGAAACAUGGGACGAGAGAGACAAGAGGGACAGACAUGACAAACAGAGGAAGCCAAAGGAAGACAGAGACAGAGAGAAGAGGAGGAAGAAGGAGAGAAAUACAAAAGAGACAGAUGACAAAGACAGGAAGAAGAAGAGAGAAGGAAGAAAAGAGGAGGAAGGAGAAAGAAGGACAGUAGCUAGAACAGGAUCACAACACAAAUUUGCUGAAUGGAAGUGAACAUUUCUACAUCACUUUCAUCAUUUCAAGCCUAAUUCUGGACUUUUUUUCUAAUUCAGGUCAUUUUUCAUCUCUUUAUGUUGUUUUUUGUACCAUCUUGGUUAUUGUGUGUUUUUUUGGGGGGUUAUUUUGUUUGUUUAAACAUUGUUUUUGUUGGAAAUUGUUCAAUUUGUGGCUCAUUUUGAUCAUUUUGUCUCCAAUUUUGGUCAGUUUAUGUCUUUAGGGUUGUUCUUACGAGAAAUUUUGAUAAUUUUGUGCAUUUCAGCAUGUUUUUAAGAAUAAAAAAUGUUUAAAUCAGACUGUAAAUGAUAUUUGAACAAAGCUCUCUGUAGAAACCUGAGUAUUGAAUAGAAUAAAUGUAGACAGCUUGGUGAAUGUAAGUGAAGAUUUCUGGAUCACUUUGGUCAUUUUGAGACUCAUUUUGUGUCUCAUUUUGUGUCUCAUUUGUGUCAGUAUGUGUUUAAUUUAGGCCAGUUUACAUCUUUUGGUCUGUUUUUAAACAUUUUGCAUCUCUUUAUGUUGUUUUUUGUACCAUUUUGGUCAUUUUCUCAACUUAAUUGGAGUUAUUUAGCAUCUCUUUGUGUUCUUUUGGUAAAGUUUUGGUCAUUUUGUGUCUAAUUCAGGUGAUGUUUCAUCUCUUUAUGUUGUUUUUUGUACCAUUUUCAUCAUUUCAUGACUCAUUUCAUGUGUCUUUAAGGUUGUUUUUGUUUCAAAUUGUUCAUGUUGCUCAUAUUGGCCAUUUGUGUUUCAUUUUUCAUCUCUUUUUUUGGUCUGUUCUGCUCAUUUUAUCUCUCAUUUUGAUAAUUUUGCAUCAGUUUAAGGUUGCUUUUUUCAUUGUGGUCAUUUUGUUGCUAAUUUGGUCAUUUUGCGUUUAUUUAAGGUUGUUUUUGUUGCAUUUUGUUCAUUUUGUGUCUUCAUUUUUUGUUUUCCAUCUCAUUGUGUUGUUUUUGUUCCAUUUUGCUCAUUUUGUGGCUCAUUUAAAUCAUUUUGUGGUUCAUUUUUGUCAUGUUGUGUGUCUUUAAGGUUGUUUUUAUUUAAAAUUGUUCAAGUUGCUCAUUUUCUUCAUUUUUUUCUUUUUGGCCAUUUUUGUUUCACUCUGUAUCCUCUAUUUUUAUUUGUCUACUUUUAUCUCUCAUUUAUGUCAUUUUGCAUCACUUUAAGCUUGUUUUUGUUCCAUUUUGACAACUUUGUGUCUCAGUUUGAUCAUCUCUAAUCUCUCUUUGGGUUAUUUUUGUCACAUUUGUCCAUUUUGUUGUUGAUUUUGAUUGUUUUAUAGAUUAGAAUCAACUUUGCUGUCAUUGCACAAAGAACAAGUACUAAGACAGUAAAUGCAUUUUUUAAAAGUCCAUUGUGAUGUCAGUGAGAAGAACUCCUAACAACUGUUACCACAUUCCAUAUUCUGAAGAAAAACAUUGAAAGACUUGAGAAAGUCAGUUGAACACACAAACCUUGGAGAUAUUGGAGAGUUGUGGUCAAGAUUUCAAGUGUGAAACUUGUGAAGACAUUAUGAAGAAAGACUGUGAGAGAAAAAUGAAGCCUCCUCAGCCAGAUAGGAAACAUUCAGGUAAGACAGAAGUCCAGACAACGAGCUGCAACUCAGCCCCAAAUAUCAGCAAACUACACACUGACAUGUUACAUUGAAGUUUUCACAACACUGACAACCAACAUUUGCUCAUUUUGUGUCUCAUUGUGGCUCAUUUUGAUCAUUUUGUCUCUAACCUUGCUCUGUUUUUGUCUUUAGGAUUAUUUUUACUUGUCAUUUUUCUGCCUUUAAAACGUUUUUUGUUCCAUUUUGGUCAUUUUGUGUCUCAUUUAGAUCAUUUUGUGUCUCAUUUAGAUCAUUUUGUGUCUCAUUUAGAUCAUUUUGUGUCUCAUUUAGAUCAUUUUGUGUCUCAUUUAGAUCAUUUUGUGCGUCAUUUUGGACAUUUUGCAUCCAUUUAAGGUUUUUCUGUUCCAUUUUGUGUCUUAUUUUGUGCAUUUCAGUAUGUUUUUAGAGAAAGAAAGUUGUAUAAAUCAGAGUUUAAAUGAUAUAUGAACAAACCUCUCUGUAAAACCCUCAGAAUAUGGAAUAGAAUAAAUUUGGACAGUGGUGAAUGUAAGUGAAGAUUUCUAGAUCAGUUUUUUCAUUUCAAGGCUAAGUUUGGUCAUUUUUUAAUCUAAUUCAGGUCAUUUUUCAUCUCUUUAUGUUGUUUUUUGUACCAUCUUGGUUAUUGUGUCGUUUAUUUUGGAUGUUGUUUGUUUUUAAGGUUGUUUUUGUUUAAAAUUGUUCAGUUUGUGGUUCAUUUUGUUACUAAUUUUGGUCAGUUUAUGUCUUUAGGGUUGUUCUGACUAGAAAUUUUGAUAAUUUUGUUCAUUUCAGCAUGUUUUUAAGAAAAAAAAUGUUUAAAUCAGACUGUAAAUGAUAUUAAAUAGUAUUGAAUAGAAUAAAUGUAGACAGCUUGGUGAAUUUAAGUGAAGAUUUCUGGAUCAGUUUGGUCAUUUUGAGACUCAUUUUGCUCAUUUUGUGUCAUUAUGUGUUUAAUUUUGGUCAGUUUACAUCUUUUGGUCUGUUUUUAAACAUUUUGCAUCUUUUCAUGUUGUUUUUUGUACCAUUUUGGUCGUUUUCUUUGUCUUAAUUUUAGUUAUUUUGCAUCUCUUGGUGUUAUUUUCAUAAAAUUUUAGUCAUUUGAUGUGUAAUUCAGGUAAUGUCGCAUCUCUAUGUUGUUUUUUGUACCAUUUUGGUCAUUUUCAUUGUCUUAAUUUUAGUCAUUUUGCAUCAGUUUAAGGUUGCUUUUUUUUAUUUUGUCUCUGAUAGUAUGUGUUUUUCUGGGAUACGGGCUUUCCAUAUAUUUUCUUUAGCUCAAGAAUGUUAAACAGAAUGAAACCAUAUGUUGAAACGUUUAUUUUAGCUAUCAUCUGUCACAGGUUGACCUGUGGGUUAACCUAAAGGGACUAGGGACCUCCUGACUCCCUCUUUCUCUCUUUGUCCUUCGUACGCGAUGCAUCUUAAUGUAUGCCAGAUGUUGAAACCUAUAAAGAUCUAGUCAUUGUAACUCUCUUCAUUCAUUCACCGCAUGAUGCUUGAAUCAUGAGCUCGUCCGUAUUAAAUGUACUCUUAAUUUGAUCUACCUGUGUCAUCUCUUCAUUGAUGAACAUCCACCUUCAGAUCAACAUCAUUUCAGUCUCAUUUCCAUCAUUCAUCUUUCUCUGCUUCUUUCUCUGCAGAUUGCCAGGAUUUCUUAAAGAAGUGCCUCACGAUGGUCCCUGAACGUCGACCCAAACUGAUGGAGCUUCUGCAUCAUCCAUGGCUGAGAUAGAAACACCACUCAGACACAACACAAACAUCACAUGACACAUAAAGCCUUAAUUAUCCUUCAUAUUUUUUUUUUUAAAAGUAGAAGUCGUAUCCUCAUCUCUUCAAGGAGAGAUGACAAAAUCUCAAUCAAACCACCGCGUACUGGCAGCUGUAGAGAAUAUAAAGAUGAUAAAAC